UUUUGAAAAGGGAAAAAAAAACCCAAACUGGCUAGCACUAUACUAACUGAUGUCAAGGUUUGCAUUUUUAGCAGUCUCUUUUUUUUUCCACGGGUAUACGAAGGCUGAUGCUAUAUAGUUGAAUCAAGUGCCCUCUGAUGUGACACACGAGCAGUAAUCCCGGGUCGCUCGGAGGUCUGGUUCAUGUUGCCGUCUGGGAUGGUCCCCAUGCCGGUGAAGAGCUGGAUUAGGCAUUUCCUGAACUGGGCAGAAAACAAUCAGGUUCACAGGUGGUCCCGAUCCGGCUCACGGUGUAUCUGUUCCAGCCCAGCACUGGGGGGAAGGUCCAGAUGAAGGAGAAGGUCCAGACGAACAGCAGACCCAGGAUCGCAUGCCUGGCCUGCAGUCGGAUGUUCCCCAGGGGCCGGCAGAUCACGAAAAACCGCUCGAAGGACAGAACGGCCAGUGACCACAGGGCUACGAUGCCUGAGGCGGACAGCAGGAGGAGCUGCUGUACAGUCUGAUGGCCAGGGGGGCGAAAGAGUUUUUCAGUCUGUUGGUGGAGCUGGACUGGGACAGCAGCAAAUGAUGCGUUAAGGGGACUUGACUUGGACCUCGGCAUUUCAAAAACCUAUAGCGACAGCUCUGCUGUUCAUUUCACAUGUGAUGCAGAGUGACAUCAUUCAUUUAAACUCCAGGUGCAGCUCACCGGUCCACAGGAUGUCACUUUGAAUGACAGCACAGACGGACCGGUUAACGCUCAGAUUUUUGUAGCAACGGGCCUCAACUAUUUUUCUUGAAUCCGAAAGUUUGGGUGGACUCGGAGGAGACCUGACUCAGCUCAGCCACUGCAGAUGAACCACGGACGGUCGUCCAAAUCCAGUUCGCUCCGGCCCCCUCUGAUUUCCCUCCCUUUGAAUGAACACCUAUUGAGUCGGCGGUCCUAUGUGAAGCCCAGAUGACCUAUGACAGAGUGUCAGUAUCAUUCCUGCACCUUCAACCCCAGUUAAUUUCUUCCACUCUGUGGACCUUUUAUAGAUCAAACAGCCUCGGCACCGACUGUGUGUGUGUCUGGUCUGGGAAGGGUGGAGGUGACAGAAUAAGACUUUGUUGACUUGUUUUGAUGACACUCAUCCUGGGACCUUUCACAAUAUGCCAGUCGGACGAAUGACAUUACACGUUUCUCUCUCCCAGUUUAUUUGCCUCCUCCCUUAUCAGCCACAUGAGAGGCCCAGACAACCUCCCAUCAGGAGAUGACUGAUAAUUGUCUGCGCCUUUCCAGGAAAAUGCAGGAUUUCACUAAUAUCUAGUGACUUCAUUUUGAAGUCAGGGCAGAGCCGGUCAGUGAGAGGUGAGACCACUGAUAAGAGCGACGUUAGCUCCCCGUGUGGCUGCUUGGAGAACAUCUCAGCGGAGCUAAAUGAGCAUGGCCUCAAGGGAGGAGUGUGAUGGAGCAGCUGGCCGUCCGUUGGGACCUUCAGCACUGCUGGAAACCCAGACUGGAUGCCCCUGAUGCAUGUCUCAGGCCACAGACACUUCUCAGAAAGUCAACCAGAUUUAUCUGCCCUCGCCCUCAUGCAUGUUUGUGUAUGUGUGUCUGUGCACGUGCUUGUGCACGCUUAUGUGCAAGUAGGAAUAUGUGGAUGUCUGCUUCCCGUGUGAACAUAUGGUGAACUUUGCAGGCAGCUUCAAAGCCUACAAAUGUCAGUCUGAUGCCAAUGUGCUGAAAAAAAGUGAUACUGAACAGAUUUUCCCCUUUGUCUUCCUUCAUGUUCUGGACAGAAUGAGCAUUGACUGUUUUAAAAAAAAAGAUGAAGCUGUUAUUCUCUGGAAUGACCAGCAGAGGGCGACUCCACUGGUUGGAAAAAGAAGUCCUUUUCUAUAGAAGAGAAAAUGACUCAAGUAAAUAGUAUAAUUAACAAAGCAUAUGAGAGAAAUUAAAUUAAAAAAUUGCAGUCGACUUUUGCCACAUUAACCCCACGUUCAUUUCUUCACAUAUUUUUUGUUGUUUACUGUCCAGUCAAGGAAAAAGUUGGACAGACAUCGAUGAAACUCCAAAUGAAAUCUUCCCCAGAUUAAUUAAAACAAAUCUUUAAAUCUAUCUUUAAAUCUAAAUUCUCUUCAAAAGCACGAAUGGGAUUGCAUUUAGAGCAGUGCAACUCCAAGGUGACAAGUUUCUGCCGGCCUUCAAUGAGGUGCGCUGCAAAUUUGAGAUAGAACACGAAUCACAUCAAGAGGGCAGCGGGGAAGGGCGAGGCAGGCGGAGGCGGCGCUCCAGAAGCGAGGCCGGCCUCAGCUGUUCGCCUGGAGACUCGAGAAGGCCGGCGAGAUGUUGAUCUGUCUACAUGCAAAAAAAACCCACAACCCCCCUCCCCUUCCUCAUCUCCCUGCGACCACAUGGGGACUUUAGGCAGACAUGAUGUUCUUCACUUCCUUCAUCUGUAAUUCACAAGAUGACCCACUUUGUGCACAUCCAGAUAAAUUAGGCCCAUACUUUCUAAUCAAAUGACCGAUAACUCCGAUAACCGUCUUAUGAUCUCGACCAGAUCAGUCAGUCAGCUGUUUUCCUUUGGGUGUCAACAAAAAGAGUGUUUAUCAAACGGUCCAGAUAUAGACUGGACACCAUAGACGGGCAGUUGUGCUUGAAAUUAGUUCUGUUGAAUCAUUUUUACUGGAUUUACACAAUUAGUGAAAUAAUAACAAAUAUACAACUGAUCAAUAUAAUAUCAAUUAUAUUGUUAAUG